UUUAAGUGUAGUUGUAGACUUUAGUGUCCAACGUUUGACAUUUAAAAUUUUUCUGUUAUUACUAUUUUUGUUGUUUUUAGAUGAUAAACAUAAGUAGUACUUUAUGCAUGAUUUUUUAAAAAAACAUUACACAUUUUUUCAAAUAAGACAGAUAGUCAAACAUUUGACACUGAAACCCAUAACAACACUUAAA
rnacentral:pre_miRNA from 1 species